CUUGUAUCGCAUUAAUCCAAAUCGUUUCGCCUUGCAACCCCAACAACAUGGGACUUGCCUCUUUUCGGGCCAAGAUCAAUGUUUCAUCAAUUGUUGAUUGCACAAGUAAUCCCAUCACUUGAUUAAUCUAUUUUGCUCACGAACGCAUCAUUCGACCUCCUUCGAUAAUCAACGGAUCUCUUCCCGAGCAUGUCUUCGUUGGGCUCGACUCUUGGAUCAUAUCAACGGGUUUCACCAAGGAUGGUCUACCUUUCACUUACCUUGGAGCACAUUUAAACUUUGGCAAACAAAAAGUUAUUCUAUUUGCUUCUCUUGUAUAUAAGAUUCGGAAGAAGACAGCUAGGUGGAAACAUAAAUUACUAUCAUCGGGUGGAAAACUUACAUUGAUUCGCUUAGUAUUAUCCUCCAUUUCUAUCUACCUUUGUUACUCUCCAUUGUAGGCAUUUUGGUAUUAUAUCUCUAGUGCAAGGUACCUGUUCAGUAUUGCUUAAUAUUUUGGAACCAAGCAUCCUCGGGUUCAACACAAUUUCAUUUAGUGGCCUGUCUAGUCCCAGCAUUACUGAUUUGGGAACUCUGGCUGGUACGAAAUGCAGCAAGAUUUAAACAGGAACAAAUGUCUUCCAGAAUAUUUGCUAUAAAGUUAAAUGCUGGCUUAUUGAAUUAUCUACUCUUCUGAAACCCAAGAGGUCUACUCCAACCAAGCUCGCUGCAACUUUAUAGGAAUUGGGUAUCUCGACUUGUUCAGUUCGUAUAAAAGCACCAUUUUUGGUUAGAUGGUCUCCUCCCCACGAUAAUAGUUUUAAACUUAAUAUUGAUGUAAGAAGUAGGGAUAAUCUGGUGCAAACACGCUGUGGUGGGGUGUUCCAUGAUGAAUAGGGGUGGGUUGUUUUUGGUUUACACCAUCAUCUUGGUGUGGGCUCGAAUACCUUUGCUGAGGUGAUGGCUCUAAGAAUGGGACUUGAGUAUUGUUAUCUAUUGAAUAUAGAGUGAGUGGUUAUUGAGACGAGCUCUUUAAUAGUGACACAGUAGUUCAAUGCUAAUAGCUUUCCUUCUUGGAUUUUUCGAAAUAUUUGGGAUGAAGUUAUGAUCUUUGCAGAUUACAUAGAUGUGAAGGUUUGCAAUGUUUAUAGGGAAAUGAACACGGCUGCUGAUUUAUUGGCUCGCAUUAGUGCUAGUGGUAACAAGUCCUUUUUAGACUCUAUAGUGGAUUUUCCUUCAAAAUCCUUUCCUUCAAAAUCCUUAGGCUUGAUUUGCUUAGAC
rnacentral:lncRNA from 1 species